GGGGUGGAUAUACUUCUACCCCACUACAAGUAUAGUCCCCUUCAGCAAUCCCAGCAGAAGCCCAAGGUAAAAAAGAGAAUAUAUAAAAAAGAUUUGUGGGUAUAACUUUUGUUAAUGGCAUGAAUCUCACUAAUAGUAAAAAGAAACACUGACAGCUUAAACUGAAAGGUACAGAGGCAGUACAAAAUGAAAAGAGACCCUUUGGGCCCUCAAAAUUCUACUGGCAAGAAGCAGGCUAAGAAAACUAUGAAGCUGCAAAUCUGGACUACUUUUUAUGGAAAAGAAUGACUCAUACGGUGGAAUCAAGAGCCACGGAGGAAACAAGAGCUGCAGAGAAGCAUUCCUGGGUAGAAGUAGAACUAAGUCCUAAUCAAGGAACGUCCAACAUUUAUCCAGACAAACAUUAAAAUUGCUACAAAUCAGUGACUUCUUUGUGCCUUUCAUCUUCUCCCUUUUUAAACAGAAAUCUCUAUACCUGUUUAUUAUACGCCUGUCCCAUCACUAUAUGUUGGGUAUAUGAGGGGUAGAAAACUUGCCUCCUUGGUUUAUAGAUCUGCACACCAAAAGGAAUUAUGUCUGAGGAACUACACCCAAAGAGCCUCAUCCACACUUGGACGUAAGUAAAUGACAAUAACCUGGAUUUCAAGUUGAUGCUGUACAGGAACAAGACUUUUGGUGGGUCUUGGGAGGAGGUGAAUGUAUUUUGCAUAUGAGAGAAAUGUAAGUAAUUUCUGGCCAAAGGUUAAACUGUGGUAGUUUUCAAAUAUGUCUACAAAUUCUUUAAUACUCCUCCCCUUUAAGAGGCAGAGCUUAAUUCUCCUCCCCUUGAAUGUGGACUGGACUUAGCGACUCACUUCUUACAGAUAAAGUAUGGCUGGAAGGACAGUGUUUGGCUUCCAAGAUCAGGAUAUAAAAAGGCAUUACAGUUUUUCCCUUCUUCCUUUCUCUCUCUUGGAUCACUUACUCUAGGGGAAGACAGCUGCCAAGUCAUGAAGACACCGAAGAAGUCCUACAGAGAAGUCCACACAGUGAGGAACUGAGGCAUCAUGCCAACAGCAAUGGACACCUCAAUGGAUCAGCUGCUGAUUUCCCCUUUAUCGGCUGCUUACCCUCUGGAAGUGAGAUGUUGGUUCCACCUCAGCAGUGACAGAGAGAGACGGCUCAGGGUGACCCCAAUACUGAAACCCAUACCAGGUGGAAGAAGUUAACUACAUGAUGACCAGACUGUAGCCAAAGCUGCUCCAUCUUACACAAUUCUGAGAACUGGCCUCAAGGAAAUGGGAAUAAACCAACCCUGGAACUGAAUAUUAACUGUACUUAAAACAAUCAAGAUGAUGCUGAUCAGAA